GACGAACGCUGGCGGCGUGCCUAACACAUGCAAGUCAACUUGAAGGAAGGAGCAAUCUGACCUGAUGGUGGCGCAAGGGUGCGUAACGCGUAAGUAACUUGCCCAAGGUAAGGAAUAACGUCGAGAAAUCGGCGCUAAUACCUCAUAAUGCAGCGGAUCCGCAUGGAUAUGUUGUUAAAGGUUUACCGCCUUGGGAUAGGCUUGCGUCUGAUUAGCUAGUUGGUGUGGUAAUGGCGCACCAAGGCUACGAUCAGUAACUGGUCUGAGAGGAUGAUCAGUCACACUGGAACUGAGACACGGUCCAGACUCCUACGGGAGGCAGCAGUGAGGAAUAUUGGGCAAUAGCACGAAAGUAGUGACCCACGCAACGACCGCCGUGGAGGAGUGAAAGGGGUAACGUUUACUUAACUUAAGUUACCGUUAAAAACCG
rnacentral:rRNA from 1 species